GCGGCUGUAGCUCAGCGGUAGAGCGCCUGGUUGUGGUCCAGGAUGUCGUGGGUUCGAUCCCCAUCAGUCGCCCCA
rnacentral:tRNA from 1 species